rnacentral:rRNA from 1 species
GACGAACGCUGGCGGCGUGCUUAACACAUGCAAGUCGAACGGAAAGGCCCUGCUUUUGUGGGGUGCUCGAGUGGCGAACGGGUGAGUAACACGUGAGUAACCUGCCCUUGACUUUGGGAUAACUUCAGGAAACGGGGGCUAAUACCGGAUAGGAGCUCCUGCUGCAUGGGGGGGGUUGGAAAGUUUCGGCGGUUGGGGUUGGACUCGCGGCUUAUCAGCUGGUUGGUGGGGUAGUGGCUUACCAAGGCUUUGACGGGUAGCCGGCCUGAGAGGGUGACCGGCCACAUUGGGACUGAGAUACGGCCCAGCCUCCUACGGGAGGCAGCAGGGGGGAAUAUUGCACAAUGGGCGGAAGCCUGAUGCAGCAACGCCGCGGGCGGGAUGACGGCCUUCGGGUUGUAAACCGCUUUCGCCUGUGACGAAGCGUGAGUGACGGUAAUGGGUAAAGAAGCACCGGCUAACUACGUG